AUUUAUAUAGUUAAUUAAAUAACGUAUCAUUUUCAGUGAUAAAUAAAGAAUAUUCUUUAUAAAUA
rnacentral:tRNA from 1 species